AACGAACGUUGGCGGCGUGGAUUAGGCAUGCAAGUCGAACGAAUCCCACUCGUGUAGCAAUACAUGGGUGGGGGAAGUGGCGAAAGGGGCAGUAAUGCGUGGGUAACCUACCCUGGGGACUGGGAUAGCCCUUCUAACGAAGGGGUAAUACCGGGCGAUGUGGUCGAGGGGCAUCUCUUGGCCAUGAGAUGAAUUUCGCCUCGGGAGGGGCUCACGUGCUAUUAGCUAGUUGGUAGGGUAACGGCCUACCAAGGCAAAGAUGGCUAGCGGGUGUGAGAGCACGACCCGCGCCACUGGCACUGAGACACUGGCCAGACACCUACGGGUGGCUGCAGUCGAGGAUCUUCGGCAAUGGGCGCAAGCCUGACCGAGCGACGCCGCGUGUGCGAUGAAGGCCUUCGGGUUGUAAAGCACUGUCGAGGGGGAGAAAGCCGAAAGGUUGAUCUAUCCCUGGAGGAAGGACGGGCUAAGUUCGUGCCAGCAGCCGCGGUAAGACGAACCGUCCAAACGUUGUUCGGAAUCACUGGGCUUAAAGGGCGCGUAGGCGGGCGAUAAAGUCAGGGGUGAAAUCUUUCGGCUUAACCGGAAAAUGGCCCCUGAUACUGAUUGUCUUGAGGGAGGUAGGGGUCUGUGGAACUUCUGGUGGAGCGGUGAAAUGCGUUGAUAUCAGAAGGAACGCCGGUGGCGAAAGCGACGGACUGGACCUCUUCUGACGCUGAGGCGCGAAAGCUAGGGUAGCGAACGGGAUUAGAUACCCCGGUAGUCCUAGCCCUAAACGAUGGGUACUAGGUUGUAGACUUCCAUGGGUUUACAGCCGAAGCAAAAGUGGUAAGUACCCCGCCUGGGGAGUAUGGUCGCAAGGCUGAAACUCAAAGGAAUUGACGGGGGCUCACACAAGCGGUGGAGCAUGUGGCUCAAUUCGAGGCUACGCGAAGAACCUUAUCCUGGGCUUGACAUGUGCGAAAGCGCUAGCAAGUAGGGUGCGGAAACGUUACCCCAACGGUAUCCAGUCCGGAAGCUAGUACAGGUGCUGCAUGGCUGUCGUCAGCUCGUGUCGUGAGAUGUCGGGUUAAGUCCCAUAACGAGCGAAACCCUUGCCCUUAGUUGCUACUCCUUUAGGGAGAGGACUCUAGGGGGACUGCCGGUGUUAAACCGGAGGAAGGUGGGGAUGACGUCAAGUCCUCAUGGCCUUUAUGCCCAGGGCUGCACACGUGCUACAAUGGUGCGAACAAAGGGACGCAACAGCGCGAGCUUGAGCAAAUCCCAAAAAACGCACCCCAGUUCAGAUCGAAGGCUGCAACUCGCCUUCGUGAAGUUGGAAUCGCUAGUAAUCGUAGAUCAGCAACGCUACGGUGAAUACGUUCCCGGACCUUGCACACACCGCCCGUCAAGCCAUGGAAGCCGGGUGUACCUAAAGUCAGUAACCGUCAAGGAGCUGCCUAGGGUAAAACUGGUAACUGGGGCU
rnacentral:rRNA from 1 species